rnacentral:rRNA from 1 species
GGGCCCGCACAAGCGGUGGAGCAUGUGGUUUAAUUCGAUGAUACGCGAGGAACCUUACCAGGGCUUAAAUGGGAAAUGACAGGGGCAGAGACGCCCCCUUCUUCGGACAUUUUUCAAGGUGCUGCAUGGUUGUCGUCAGCUCGUGCCGUGAGGUGUCAGGUUAAGUCCUAUAACGAGCGCAACCCCUACCGUUAGUUGCCAGCGUGUAAUGACGGGGACUCUAACGGAACUGCCGGUGCAAACCGUGAGGAAGGUGGGGACGACGUCAAAUCAUCACGGCCCUUACGUCCUGGCCACACACGUGCUACAAUGCUACGGACAAAGGGCUGCAAGUUCGCGAGGACAAGCA